rnacentral:rRNA from 1 species
GACGAACGCUGGCGGCGUGCUUAACACAUGCAAGUCGAACGGAAAGGCCCUGCUUUUGUGGGGUGCUCGAGUGGCGAACGGGUGAGUAACACGUGAGUAACCUGCCCUUGACUUUGGGAUAACUUCAGGAAACUGGGGCUAAUACCGGAUAGGAGCUCCUGCUGCAUGGUGGGGGUUGGAAAGUUUCGGCGGUUGGGGAUGGACUCGCGGCUUAUCCGCUUGUUGGUGGGGUAGUGGCUUACCAAGGCUUUGACGGGUAGCCGGCCUGAGAGGGUGACCGGCCACAUUGGGACUGAGAGACGGCCCAGACUCCUACGGGAGGCAGCAGUGGAGAAUAUUGCACAAUGGGCGGAAGCCUGAUGCAGCAACGCCGCGUGCGGGAUGACGGCCUUCGGGUUGUAAACCGCUUUCGCCUGUGACGAAGCGUGAGUGACGGUAAUGGGUAAAGAAGCACCGGCUAACUACGUG